UGUCCAGUAGCACCUUAAAGACCAACUAAGUUUGUUCUUGGUAUAAGCUUUCAUGCACGCACAUGAAAGCUUAUACCAAGAACAAACUUAGUUGGCCUCUAAGAUGCUACUGGACA